AGCACGGGGGCAACCCUGGUGGCGAGUGGCGAACGGGUGAGUAAUAUAUCGGAACAUAUCCGGAAGUGGGGGAUAACGUACCGAAAGGUACGCUAAUACCGCAUAUGCCCUGAGGGGGAAAGCGGGGGAUCGUAAGACCUCGCGCUUUCGGAGUGGCCGAUAUCAGAUUAGCUAGUUGGUGAGGUAAAGGCUCACCAAGGCGACGAUCUGUAGCUGGUCUGAGAGGACGACCAGCCACACUGGAACUGAGACACGGUCCAGACUCCUACGGGAGGCAGCAGUGGGGAAUUUUGGACAAUGGGCGCAGGCCUGAUCCAGCCAUGCCGCGUGAGUGAAGAAGGCCUUCGGGUUGUAAAGCUCUUUCAGCCGGAAAGAAAACGCACGGGAUAAUACCUUGUGUGGAUGACGGUACCGGAAGAAGAAGCACCGGCUAACUACGUGCCAGCAGCCGCGGUAAUACGUAGGGUGCGAGCGUUAAUCGGAAUUACUGGGCGUAAAGCGUGCGCAGGCGGUUUUGUAAGUCAGAUGUGAAAGCCCCGGGCUUAACCUGGGAAUGGCGUUUGAAACUGCAAGGCUAGAGUGUGUCAGAGGGGGGUAGAAUUCCACGUGUAGCAGUGAAAUGCGUACAGAUGUGGAGGAAUACCGAUGGCGAAGGCAGCCCCCUGGGAUAACACUGACGCUCAUG
rnacentral:rRNA from 1 species